rnacentral:rRNA from 1 species
GGUGAGUAAUAUAUCGGAACGUACCCAGUAGUGGGGGAUAGCCCGGCGAAAGCCGGAUUAAUACCGCAUACGACCUACGGGUGAAAGGGGGGGAUCGCAAGACCUCUCGCUAUUGGAGCGGCCGAUAUCAGAUUAGGUAGUUGGUGGGGUAAAAAGCCUACCAAGCCAACGAUCUGUAGCUGGUCUGAGAGGACGACCAGCCACACUGGGACUGAGACACGGCCCAGACUCCUACGGGAGGCAGCAGUGGGGAAUUUUGGACAAUGGGCGCAAGCCUGAUCCAGCCAUGCCGCGUGCGGGAAGAAGGCCUUCGGGUUGUAAACCGCUUUUGUCAGGGAAGAAACGCUCUGGAUUAAUACUCUGGGGUAAUGACGGUACCUGAAGAAUAAGCACCGGCUAACUACGUGCCAGCAGCCGCGGUAAUACGUAGGGUGCAAGCGUUAAUCGGAAUUACUGGGCGUAAAGCGUGCGCAGGCGGCUGUGCAAGACAGAUGUGAAAUCCCCGGGCUCAACCUGGGAACUGCAUUUGUGACUGCAUAGCUAGAGUACGGUAGAGGGGGAUGGAAUUCCGCGUGUAGCAGUGAAAUGCGUAGAUAUGCGGAGGAACACCGAUGGCGAAGGCAAUCCCCUGGACCUGUACUGACGCUCAUGCACGAAAGCGUGGGGAGCAAACAGGAUUAGAUACCCUGGUAGUCCACGCCCUAAACGAUGUCAACUGGUUGUUGGACGGCUUGCUGUUCAGUAACGAAGCUAACGCGUGAAGUUGACCGCCUGGGGAGUACGGCCGCAAGGUCGAAACUCAAAGGAAUUGACGGGGACCCGCACAAGCGGUGGAUGAUGUGGUUUAAUUCGACGCAACGCGAAAAACCUUACCUACCCUUGACAUGUCUGGAAUUUUGCAGAGAUGUGAAAGUGCUCGAAAGAGAACCAGAACACAGGUGCUGCAUGGCCGUCGUCAGCUCGUGUCGUGAGAUGUUGGGUUAAGUCCCGCAACGAGCGCAACCCUUGUCAUUAGUUGCCACGAAAGGGCACUCUAAUGAGACUGCCGGUGACAAACCGGAGGAAGGUGGGGAUGACGUCAGGUCAUCAUGGCCCUUAUGGGUAGGGCUACACACGUCAUACAAUGGUCGGUACAGAGGGUCGCCAACCCGCGAGGGGGAGCCAAUCCCAGAAAACCGAUCGUAGUCCGGAUCGCAGUCUGCAACUCGACUGCGUGAAGUCGGAAUCGCUAGUAAUCGCGGAUCAGCUUGCCGCGGUGAAUACGUUCCCGGGUCUUGUACACACCGCCCGUCACACCAUGGGAGCGGGUUCUGCCAGAAGUAGUUAGCCUAACCGCAAGGGGGGCGAUUACCACGGCAGGGUUCGUGACUGGGGUGAAGUCGUAACAAGGUA